AGUGAACGCUGGCGGCAGGCCUAACACAUGCAAGUCGAACGGCAGCACAGUGGAGCUUGCUCCAUGGGUGGCGAGUGGCGGACGGGUGAGGAAUACAUCGGAAUCUGCCCAGUCGUGGGGGAUAACAUAGGGAAACUUAUGCUAAUACCGCAUACGACCUACGGGUGAAAGCGGGGAUCGCAAGACCUCGCGCGAUUGGAUGAGCCGAUGUCCGAUUAGCUAGUUGGCGGGGUAAUGGCCCACCAAGGCGACGAUCGGUAGCUGGUCUGAGAGGAUGAUCAGCCACACUGGAACUGAGACACGGUCCAGACUCCUACGGGAGGCAGCAGUGGGGAAUAUUGGACAAUGGGCGCAAGCCUGAUCCAGCCAUGCCGCGUGGGUGAAGAAGGCCUUCGGUUGUAAAGCCUUUGUCCGGAAGAACGACCUCGGAUUAAUACUACUGGGUAAGUGACGGUACCGGAAGAAUAAGACACCGG
rnacentral:rRNA from 1 species